rnacentral:rRNA from 1 species
UACGUAGGGUGCAAGCGUUAAUCGGAAUUACUGGGCGUAAAGCGUGCGCAGGCGGUUAUGUAAGACAGGUGUGAAAUCCCCAGGCUUAACCUGGGAACUGCAUUCGAGACUGCAUUGCUAGAGUAUGGGAGAGGGAAGUGGAAUUUCCGGUGUAGCGGUGAAAUGCGUAGAUAUCGGAAGGAACAUCAGUGGCGAAAGCGACUUCCUGGACCAAUACUGACGCUCAUGUGCGAAAGCGUGGGGAGCAAACAGG